UCGGGGAUUGGCGCGUGAGUCUCAGGCAUGGGACCGGAGGCCGGCGUUGAGGCUCCGAGUGUCGCACCUCCUCAGGCUGGAGGAGUGAUGAAAGAAAAGGAGGGCCCAGCCCCACACCCCGUAUCUUCUGGCAUCUCCUGAGCCUAGAUCCAGAAGCCGCGUCCCGGGCCGCCCCACCGCCGGGCAGGAGGCCGGGCAGGAGGCCGGGCAGGAGGCCGAGCAGGAGGCCGGCAGGAGGCCGGGCAGGGCCCUGCAGAUCCGGGCCUAGUUUUGCUCCGGUUUCCGUUUGUGCCGUGUUCUCCCGUGGUCAGUUGUGUCUCACGCUCCGAGACCCCGGUUGAGGUUUUCCUGGCAAAGGUCCUGGAGCGGUUUGCCAUUUCCUUCUCCAGCUCGUCUUACGGAGGAGAAACUGAGGCAAACAGCGCGAAGUGACUUGCUCGGGGUCACAAGCCCAAUCUGAACGCGGCAAAGAGGAAUCUUUCAGGCGGGCGCGCACCCCCUAGUGGCCACUCUUUAUAGAAUAGAUAUGGAAGGAGCCUCGAUGCUGAUCUAGUUGGAAGUCAUAAUCAAAAAGGAAUAUCCGCUAUAAUCAAUUAGCGAGAGAUCAUUUAGCCCUUGGGGCUUCCGCUACUUCCACCCUAAAAUGAAAAUAGCCUAAAAGACUAUUUUGUGGAGAAUUCGCUCAAGAUCAGCAAUGUUCCCUUCUUCAUCAUUGGGCCUCUCAUGAUGUACCUGAUGCAUCCUUAUGCUCAGAAGCGCUCCCUCAUUGUGCAGCUGCCCUGGGUCCUCUUCAUGUUAGUAGGCGCAUUCUCUGUGUACUUCCACAUGACGCUGAGUUUCUUGGGGCAGAUCCUGGAUGAACUGGCCAUCCUCUGGCUGCUGGCAACCUGCUAUUGCAUCUGGUUUCCUCGCUGCUACUUUCCCGCUUUCUUGAAGAGGAACAGGUCACACUUCACUUACAUGGUCCUGUUCAUCGCAAUCAUAAUCACCUUCCUGGCCUUCCUAAAGCCAGUGGUCAAUGCCUACGUGCUCAACUCCAUCGCACUGCACAUUUGCUACUUUGUGAAAAAAGAGUACAAGAAGAAACAUGCUCAAGUGAAUCAUAUGAUCACGGUAUCUGUGCUAUGGUGGUUAUUGGCUGUGUCCACCUGGAUAUGUGACCGGAUCUUCUGCUCCUACUGGCAACAGAUUAAUUUUGCCUAUUUGCACAGCCUCUGGCACAUCUUUAUCAGCAUUGUGUUCCCAUAUGUAGUGGAUGUCUUAAUUAUUCUGGAUGGCCGGUAUGAGAUGCAGGAUAACUCCCUGGAAAUCCACUACUGGCCUCGGGAUGAGUGGCUUAUGGGGCUGCCCUAUGUGACUUUCAAGGGCGAGAAGGUCAACAGUGGGGGCAAGAACUGCUGACGGCCCCAGAGUUUGGAAUAGCAGGUCUGUGGUGCUGAUGGGACCAGAUUGGGAGGUCUGAAACUCAAACAGCAUUUAAUUAAAGGAGGAGAGAAAUCUUCACUGGAUGAGAGCUAAGAAACUUGAGAAGAGCAGAGGUGAUGAGUGUGACUUUGGGAUGGAGUAGUGACAACUAUGAAGCUAUAACCCAGUAUGUCAACUGACACAAAUUCUACCAAAGAAAAAUAAUUCUGGAUACCGCCUGGCACUAUUUCUGCUGAGGAAGCCUCAGGGUUGGGUCAGACUUCCAUAAUCUGUGCCAUGAAUAGAAGAAGGAUUGGGUUUAAAGAAAGAACAUUUGUUGCAGUUUUCCAUCCCCUUCCUGCCACUGGGAAUUAGCAAACUGGAGAAGUCCCAUCAAAGGGAAAGAAGGACUUUUUGCUUUUGUUUUAGAAGAAAAAUUUGACAGCAGCAAUGACUGUGAUGGCCAAAAAAAAAAGAGACUGAACUCUGAUCCUUGCAGGCUUUUCUCCUAUGGGUGAGCCUCCAACAACAAAGAAACAACUCCCCAAGAGGUUGAAUCAUUUCUCUCCAAAAAACUGAAUAAACCAGUAACAUGCUUAACUUA